GGUUCCCGUAUGAUCACCAAAGUUAAGCAACAUUGAGCCUGGUUAGUAUCUAGAUGGGUGACCACUUGGGAAUACCAGGUGCUGUAAG